GGCAUAGUACAAAACAUGGACUGGACUGGACUGGACAGUUGGACUGGACUGGACUGUUGGACUGGACUGUUGGACUGGACUGAUUUUUACAUUUUCUCUAUUCUUGACUUGCACGUCACCCGCCAUGUCAGAUGGCAUGGCACAAAAGAAUAUUUUAUCACAGAAUAGAUAUACCAUGUCAUGUUUAUUUUGUGAUUUUAUCGAUCGGAACAUUGUCUGGUGUGUACCAGGAGGAGAUUGGUUGCAAGUCAAGAAUAUAACGUUUUGCACCUGAAUUACUUUUGAUUUUCGGAAAUUGAAAUAUUUUACCUUCGCCGAUGACCUCACUUUAUAACUGGAGUGAAAUUUCAG